ensembl:lncRNA terminal uridylyl transferase 7
AUGGGCGAUGCUGCAAAAUCUUGCUAUACGAGACGUAAUAAGGACUGGGGACUUACAAAUGAGGAGGAUUUCCAGAAAUGUGCUUCACGUCAAGUGAUGGACGAUUGUGGAAAUGGACACAGUAGCAAAGUGGACACCAGAUUUGAAAAAAGAAAGGGAACAUCAAGUGAUUAUGGAACAAGUCCUAGAAAGGGAGCACAUGCUGCUUUGAAUAGUCCAAAUUCUUCAAAAAACAUUGUUUACAAUCAAGGGGCAAGAAUAAAUGAUUCUUCAAAAGACCAAAUUAAGAAAUGGGUGUCUGACAACCAUCAAGCUAAUUCCAGCAGUUGGAGAGAAUUCAAAUCCACAGCCCGGAUACCUGUGAUUAUCAGACCACGGAAAGAGUUUCCUCAUGAAUGUGAGAGUUUUGGAGGCAGAAGUGGAAGAAGGCAGCUCUUUAGAGACCUCACAAGUGAAGAUUUAUCUGAUAGAAAAGGAAAUUCUGGUAAUACAACUUCUAAACAUAGGAAACCAAGGAGAUCAAGAAGAAUAAAAAAAGAAGACAAUGAUCAGGAUGAUGAACUGGAUGGCCCUGUUAUAGAUGAGUCUUUACUGACAGCAGAAGAAUUACUGGGGUUGCAGCAGGCUGAAGAACGACUUAAGGGAGACUACAUUUAUAGACUGAGGAAGCGACCUCGAAGCAACCCAACAGCUAAAUAUACUUGCAGGUUAUGUGACGUAUUGAUUGAGUCAGUGGCAUUUGCUCAUAAGCAUAUCAAGGAAAAAAGACACAAGAAAAACAUAAAGGAAAAACAAGAACAAGAACUGCUGAAUGCACUUCCUUCACCAACAGUUUUGCAAAUUGAAGCUAUUGGUAUAGCCGUUCAAAAAGUAGUAGAAGAGUUUGGAUUAAAUAAUGAAGAUGUAGAACAAAGGCUUGGAAUCAAAACUACUAUGGAGAAUGUAUUUCAACCAAAACUGCCAGAUUGUUCUCUAAGGUUGUAUGGUUCUUCCUGGAGCAGAUUUGGCUUUAAAAAUUCUGAUAUAAAUCUCGAUAUCCAGUUUCCAUCCAGUAUGUCCCAACCAGAUGUUCUCUUACUUGGACAAGAAAGCUUGAAGAGCAGUGAAUCUUUUAUUGAUGUUGAUGCAGAUUUCCAUGCUAAAGUGCCUGUGGUGGUGUGCAAAGAAAAACAAAGUGGCCUUGUUUGCAGAGUAAGUGCAGGAAAUGAUAAUGCUUGUCUGACGACCAAUCACUUGGCUAUGCUUGGAAGAUUAGAGCCUCAUCUUGUGUCCUUGGUCAUUGCUUUCAGACACUGGGCCAAGCUAUGUUGUAUAGAUCAUCCUGAAGAAGGUGGUUUACCAUCUUAUGUAUUUGCUCUAAUGGUUAUUUUCUUUCUGCAACAAAGGAAGGAACCUUUUCUGCCUGUCUAUUUAGGUUCAUGGAUUGGAGGAUUUUCAUUAAACAAAUUAGUGAAUUUUAAUCUUAAAAAAGUUGAAAAUAAUACUGUGGUCUGGGAAUACAGCCCUGGUAUUGAUCCCAGUUCUUCAAAGGAAUCUUCUCCUAAAAGGGGAAAGGUUCCUUUAGUAUUUGAUUCAGAUCAACAGUGUUCAGUUCCAAUUGGACAGCUAUGGGUUGAACUGCUUCGUUUUUAUGCCUUGGAGUUUAAUCUGUCUGACUUGGUGAUAAGCAUACGGCUCAAAGAAAAACUAGCUCGUGAAUCCAAGGACUGGCCUAAAAAAAGAAUUGCUGUGGAAGAUCCUUAUUCCGUAAAGAGGAAUGUGGCAAGAACUCUUAAUAGUCAGUUAGUAUAUGAGUAUAUACUUCAUUGUUUACGGUCAACUUACAAGUAUUUUGCCUUGCCUCAUAAACAGAAUGCAAAAAACAACCAAAUACAAUCUCUAGAGGGCUCAAUACCUCUAGAACCUGAGAAGAAUGCCUUUAAGCAAACAGUCCCUGAUAUAAAAAAUGACCAUAAUGAAAUGGAGAAUACUGUAAUAGACAGCUGUAUAACUUCUACCAAGAAAAGUUCAUAUUUUCCUGAAGAACAUAUGUGUGAGCCUUCUCAGGUAUUUAUUGAUGAAAACUUUGUGGAAGAACAGUUGGCAGAUGGUGAACAUUUAGGAAUGUCUUAUGAGGACUCAGAUUGCAUAAUUGAAGAAUUCAUUUCGGGUGACAAUGAGGAAUUUAAACCAAGCUGUGAAGAGACUGAGAGUGGAAAUGAAGAGGAGGAAGAGGGGCAUGUACAGGAACAUUUGGAUAGUAACCAAGACAGUGAAAGUGGAGAUCUUGCUAUUCGAAUUAGUGAGCAUGAUGUUGAAACAGACAGCAUUUCUGAUUUGGAAAAUUUUCAAAAUGUAAUAACUGUCCUUGAGGAGUUUGGUUUAGAAGACAGUGGUAUUCCAAAUGAUAAACUUGACAUUAAUGAAGUGAGCACAGAAGGUACUGAUGAACUGGAUGAUUCCCUGUUCAAACUGGAACCGCCAACUCAGGAACAAGUAUCUGAAAUGGAUAACUCGGAAGAAGAUGAGGAGGAAGAAACAGAGGAAGAAGACGAAGAGCAUAGUAUUAAAAACCAAGGGCAACAUGAGAACAUAAUCAAUACCGAAGAUGAGCUGGACAAUACAUACACUGGAUCUGGUGUUGAAGAACCUCUUUCCGAAGAGGAAUUGCUUAUUGCUCAUGGGGACAUUGCGCUAAAGAAGAGAGUAGAUGAAUUUUCAAGUGUAGAUUUGAACAAAGAAGAUGAUCCUGAAAAAGAAGUUCUUACUGAAAGCGACAAGCCAGUAGACCAGAGUAAUAAGCUUGAAUUCUUCUAUGAAUUUAAUAAAGCUGCUUUCACAAAAGGCAAGACUCCUACAGUUGUAUGCAGUUUAUGUAAGCGAGAAGGUCAUCUAAAGAGGGACUGUCCAGAAGACUUUAAAAAAAUUGAACUGGAUCCUUUGCCACCAUUAACGUCCAAGUUUUCUAGUAUUCUGGAUCAAGUGUGCAUUCAAUGUUACAAAGAUUUUGCUCCAAAUGUUAUAGAAGACCAGGCUCGGGAAUAUAUAAGACAAAAUCUUGAAGGUUUCAUCCGACAAGAAUUUCCAGGCACAAAAUUAAACUUGUUUGGGUCUUCAAAGAAUGGAUUUGGCUUCAAGCAAAGCGAUCUUGAUAUUUGUAUGACAAUUGAUGGUCUGGAAACUGCUGAGGGACUUGAUUGUAUAAGAAUUAUUAAAGAACUUGCAAGAGUGUUGAAGAAACAUUCAGGUUUAAGAAAUAUCUUACCCAUAACAACUGCUAAAGUGCCGAUUGUCAAGUUUUUUCAUAUCCGAAGUGGCCUUGAAGUAGACAUCAGUCUGUAUAACACAUUGGCUCUGCAUAACACAAGGCUCUUGUCUUGUUAUGCCACAAUUGAUCCCAGAGUAAAAUAUCUUUGCUACACAAUGAAAGUAUUUACAAAGAUGUGCGACAUUGGUGAUGCAUCCAGAGGGAGCUUAUCUUCCUAUGCAUAUACGCUAAUGGUGCUCUAUUUUCUUCAGCAGAGAAGUCCACCUGUUAUUCCAGUUCUUCAAGAGAUCUGUACAGAGCCAAAGAAACCUGAAAUUCUAGUUGAUGGCUGGAAUGUUUAUUUCUUUGACAGAAUAAAUGAACUGUCAGAUGUUUGGUCAGAUUUUGGUAAAAAUAAAGAAUCCAUUGGUGAAUUAUGGCUAGGACUUCUACGUUUUUAUACUGAGGAAUUUGAUUUUAAAGAGCAUGUUAUCUGCAUCCGAAGAAAAAAUUUGCUUACAACGUUCAAGAAACAGUGGACUUCGAAAUACAUAGUCAUUGAAGGUAUCUACUUUAUGAACAUUUUAUUGACAUUUUAA